rnacentral:rRNA from 1 species
CAGUCGCCGCGGGAAUACGAGGGGGGCAAGCGUUGUUCGGAAUUAUUGGGCGUAAAGCGUGCGCAGGCGGUUAUAUAAGACAGAUGUGAAAUCCCCGGGCUCAACCUGGGACCUGCAUUUGUGACUGUAUAGCUAGAGUACGGUAGAGGGGGAUGGAAUUCCGCGUGUAGCAGUGAAAUGCAUAGAUAUGCGGAGGAACACCGAUGGCGAAGGCAAUCCCCUGGACCUGUACUGACGCUCAUGCACGAAAGCGUGGGGAGCAAACAGGAUUAGAUACCCCUGUAGUCCCUGUCUCUUAUAC